AUGUAUGCGUUGGCAGAGGCCGUUAUGGGCUCUGUGAUUAGGGAGCUUGGCAAUUUGCUCCAUGGCGAGUACAAGCUGUUCAAAGAAACCAAGGAUUAUAUCAUGUUUCUUAAAGCUGAGCUCGAGAGCAUGCACGUCUUCCUCAAGAAAAUGUCAGACACGGAAGAGGAGCCCGACGAACAAACCAAGUGCUGGGUGGGUGAGGUGCGUGAGCUGUCCUACGAUAUUGAGGACAACGUUUAUGAUUUCUUGCUUCAUUCUGAACAUGAAUCCAACAACACCCCUCAGCAUGGCUUUAGGGGAUUCAUUGAUAAGUGCGUGAAUUUGUUGAGUCACUUCAGUUCAAAAUUUUCGUUUGGUCAUCAUCAUGAGACCAUAUACGAGUUUCAAGGCCUCAAGAGACGUGUUGUGGAGGCAAAUCUUCGCCUGCUCGCACUCUAUGCAGAGAAGACGGCCCUUGUUGGCAUCGAGGGGCCAAAGGGGGAACUAAUUCAGUUGAUGAUGGAUCAAAAAAGUGUUUCUGCAGGUUCUCUCAAUUGUGGGAUUUGGAGGUCUUGGUAA
rnacentral:rRNA from 1 species